CUACGGGAGGCAGCAGUGGAGAAUAUUGGACAAUGGGGGAAACCCUGAUCCAGCAAUGCCGCGUGUGUGAAGAAGGCCUGCGGGUUGUAAAGCACUUUCGGUUGGGAGGACUGCUUCUAGCACUAAUAUUGUUGGAAGUUGACGUUACCUUCAGAAGAAGCACCGGCUAGCUCCGUGCCAGCAGCCGCGGUAAUACGGAGGGUGCAAGCGUUAAUCGGAAUUACUGGGCGUAAAGCGCGCGUAGGCGGCUAGAUCAGUCGGGUGUGAAAGCCCCGGGCUUAACCUGGGAACUGCAUCCGAUACUGUCUAGCUUGAGUACAGGAGAGGAGAGUGGAAUUCCACAUGUAGCGGUGAAAUGCGUAGAUAUGUGGAGGAACACCAAUGGCGAAGGCAGCUCUCUGGCCUGAUACUGACGCCGAGGUGCGAAAGCGUGGGGAGCAAACAGGAUUAGAUACCCGCAUAGUC
rnacentral:rRNA from 1 species